rnacentral:rRNA from 1 species
GGAGUUAGCCGGUGCUUCUUCUGCGAGUAACGUCACAGAUGUAAGGUAUUAACUUACACCCUUUCCUCCUCGCUGAAAGUGCUUUACAACCCGAAGGCCUUCUUCACACACGCGGCAUGGCUGCAUCAGGGUUUCCCCCAUUGUGCAAUAUUCCCCACUGCUGCCUCCCGUAGGAGUCUGGGCCGUGUCUCAGUCCCAGUGUGGCUGAUCAUCCUCUCAGACCAGCUAGGGAUCGUCGCCUAGGUGAGCCUUUACCUCACCUACUAGCUAAUCCCACCUGGGCUUAUCCAUCAGCGCAAGGCCCGAAGGUCCCCUGCUUUCCCCCGUAGGGCGUAUGCGGUAUUAGCAGUCGUUUCCAACUGUUAUCCCCCACAAAUGGGCAAAUUCCCAGGCAUUACUCACCCGUCCGCCGCUCGUCAUCUUCAAAAGCAAGCUUUUGAAAUGUUACCGCUCGACUUGCAUGUGUUAGGCCUGCCGCCAGCGUUCAAUCUGAGCCAGGAUCAAAACUCUGA